rnacentral:rRNA from 1 species
UUGAACGCUGGCGGCAUGCUUUACACAUGCAAGUCGAACGGCAGCGCGGGCUUCGGCCUGGCGGCGAGUGGCGAACGGGUGAGUAAUGCAUCGGAACGUGCCCAGUAGUGGGGGAUAGCCCGGCGAAAGCCGGAUUAAUACCGCAUACGACCUGAGGGUGAAAGCGGGGGACCGAAAGGCCUCGCGCUAUUGGAGCGGCCGAUGUCGGAUUAGCUAGUUGGUGGGGUAAAGGCUUACCAAGGCGACGAUCCGUAGCUGGUCUGAGAGGACGACCAGCCACACUGGGACUGAGACACGGCCCAGACUCCUACGGGAGGCAGCAGUGGGGAAUUUUGGACAAUGGGGGCAACCCGGAUCCAGCCAUGCCGCGUGCGGGAAGAAGGCCUUCGGGUUGUAAACCGCUUUUGUUCGGGAAGAAAUCCUAUGGGCUAAUACCCCGGGGGGAUGACGGUACCGGAAGAAUAAGCACCGGCUAACUACGUG